UCUCGUGUCUGCUCAACUUGAACACCUCCUCAUUGAUUUUGCUCGAGGAUGGUGCCCUUUAUGUGCAUGAACUGAUGGGUGUGUUCACAACGUAGAGCAGCGCUUCUCUGU